GGCUGGUCUGAAGGUAGUGAGUUACCUCAAUUGAUUGUUCACACUGAGUUACAGGUUGAACUCCUUGUUCUAUUAUUUCCCCUUUUCUUACUACUGCAUUUGAUGAA
ensembl:misc_RNA Y_RNA Y RNA